UGAAAAUGUCAAGUGUCAUGUUGAGGAGCCU
rnacentral:piRNA from 1 species